rnacentral:rRNA from 1 species
CCUACGGGAGGCAGCAGUGGGGAAUAUUGGACAAUGGGGGGAAGCCUGAUCCAGCGACGCCGCGUGAGUGAAGAAGGAUUUCGGGAUGUAAAGCUCUAUCAGCAGGGAAGAAAAUGACGGUACCUGACUAAGAAGCCCCGGCUAACGACGUGACAGCAGCCGCGGUAAUACGUAGGGUGCAAGCGUUAUCCGGAUUUACUGGGGGUAAAGGUAGCGUCGACGGGGCAGCGAGUCUGAUGGGAAAGGUCGGGGCCCAACCCCGGGACUGCAUUGGAAACUGUUGAACUGGAGUACAGGAGAGGUAAGCGGAAGUCCUGGUGUAGCGGUGAAAUGCGUAGAUAUUAGGAGGAACACCAGUGGCGAAGGCGGCUUACUGGACUGUAACUGACGUUGAGGCUCGAAAGCGUGGGUAGCAAACAGGAUUAGAUACCCUGGUAGUC